GACGAACGCUGGCGGCGUGCCUAACACAUGCAAGUCGAGCGAUGAAAUUAGAAACGGAGUCUUCGGACGAAGUGGAAAAUGGAAUAGCGGCGGACGGGUGAGUAACACGUGAGCAACCUGCCUAUCACAUCGGGAUAGCCUCGGGAAACUGGGAUUAAUACCGAAUGAAACAUAAUCACUGCCUAGUGGAAAUGUCAAAGAUUUAUCGGUGAUAGAUGGGCUCGCGUCUGAUUAGCUAGUUGGUGAGGUAAUGGCUCACCAAGGCGACGAUCAGUAGCCGGCCUGAGAGGGUGAACGGCCACAUUGGGACUGAGACACGGCCCAAACUCCUACGGGAGGCAGCAGUGGGGAAUAUUGCAAAAUGGAGGGACCUCUGAUGCAGCGACGCCGCGUGAGCGAUGAAGGCUUUCGAGUCGUAAAGCUCUGUCGAAUGGGAAGAUAAUGACGGUACCAUUUGAGAAAGCCCCGGCUAACUACGUGCCAGCCGCCGCGGUAA
rnacentral:rRNA from 1 species